rnacentral:rRNA from 1 species
CAGCCGCCGCGGUAAUACGAGGGGGGCAAGCGUUGUUCGGAAUUAUUGGGCGUAAAGGGUGCGUAGGCGGUUCAGCAAGUCUCGUGUGAAAUCUUCGGGCUCAACCCGAAGUCUGCACGGGAAACUACUGGGCUUGAGUAAUGGAGAGGUGAGUGGAAUUUCCGGUGUAGCGGUGAAAUGCGUAGAUAUCGGAAGGAACACCUGUGGCGAAAGCGGCUCACUGGACAUUUACUGACGCUGAUGCACGAAAGCUAGGGGAGCAAACAGGAUUAGAUACCCCUGUAGUCCCUGUCUCUUAUAA